rnacentral:rRNA from 1 species
AACGAACGCUGGCGGCAUGCCUAACACAUGCAAGUCGAACGAAACCUUCGGGUCUAGUGGCGCACGGGUGCGUAACGCGUGGGAACCUGCCCUUAGGUUCGGAAUAACUCCCCGAAAGGGGUGCUAAUACCGGAUAAUGUCUUCGGACCAAAGAUUUAUCGCCUUUGGAUGUGCCCGCGUUGGAUUAGCUAGUUGGUAGGGUAAAAGCCUCCCAAGGCGACGAUCCAUAGAUGGUCUGAGAGGAUGAUCAGCCACACUGAGAGUGAGACACGGCCCAGACUCUUCCGGGAAGGAGGAGUGGGGAAUAGUGGAAAAUGGGCGAAAGCAUGAUCCAGCACUGCCGGGUGAGUGAUGAAGGCAUUAGGGUUGUAAAGCUCUUUUAACUGGGAUGAUCAUGACAGUACCGGGAGAAUAAGCCACGGCUAACUACGUG